rnacentral:rRNA from 1 species
UACGUAGGGGGCUAGCGUUGUCCGGAAUCAUUGGGCGUAAAGCGCGUGUAGGCGGUCCGGUAAGUCCGCUGUGAAAGUCGGGGGGCUCAACCCUCGGAUGCCGGUGGAUACUGUCGGGCUAGAGUCCGGAAGGGGCGAGUGGAAUUCCUGGUGUAGCGGUGAAAUGCGCAGAUAUCAGGAGGAACACCAAUGGCGAAGGCAGCUCGCUGGGACGUGACUGACGCUGAGACGCGAAAGCGUGGGGAGCAAACAGG